AGACCUCACAAAACUAACUCUGAACCUCCAUUUGAUCCAGAUCUAUAAUCUAUAUAAACACAUUAGUCUCAUCAAAAUGGGGGGCUAGCUAUCACCAAAAUCAUAACCUAAUCAUUCUCUCAAAAUCACUCAUUGCAAAUUAAACUUUCAUUCUUUCACUUCAUCUUCUCUAAUUCCUCUCCCUACACUAAAGCCCAAUCACCAUUGGAGCAAGCUUCACAUUGAAGUUUGUUAUCA
rnacentral:lncRNA from 1 species